ACUGCUCAGUAACACGUGGACAACCUGCCCUUAGGUUGGGUAUAAACCCGGGAAACUGGGUAUAAUACCCGAUAGGUCUCGAUUGCUGGAAUGCAUCGAGAUUUAAAGCUCCGGCGCCUAAGGAUGGGUCUGCGGCCUAUCAGGUAGUAGUGGGUGUAGCGUACCUACUAGCCUACGACGGGUACGGGUUGUGAGAGCAAGAGCCCGGAGAUGGAUUCUGAGACACGAAUCCAGGCCCUACGGGGUGCAGCAGGCGCGAAAACUUUACAAUGCUGGCAACAGCGAUAAGGGAACCUCGAGUGCCAGGUUACAAAUCUGGCUGUCGAGAUGCCUAAAAAGCAUUUCAUAGCAAGGGCCGGGCAAGACCGGUGCCAGCCGCCGCGGUAACACCGGCGGCUCGAGUGGUAACCGUUAUUAUUGGGUCUAAAGGGUCUGUAGCCGGCCGGAUAAGUCUCUUGAGAAAUCUGGCAGCUUAACUGUCAGGCUUUCAGGAGAUACUGUCUGGCUCGAGGCCGGGAGAGGUGAGAGGUACUUCAGGGGUAGGGGUGAAAUCUUGUAAUCCUUGAAGGACCACCAGUGGCGAAGGCGUCUCACCAGAACGGACCUGACGGCAAGGGACGAAAGCUAGGGGCACGAACCGGAUUAGAUACCCAGGUAGUCCUAGCCGUAAACGAUACUCGCUAGGUGUCGGCCACGGUGCGACCGUUGUCGGUGCCGUAGGGAAGCCGUGAAGCGAGCCACCUGGGAAGUACGGUCGCAAGGCUGAAACUUAAAGGAAUUGGCGGGGGAGCAC
rnacentral:rRNA from 1 species